UGUUGUUUGUUUUGUUGUUGUUGAGGUUUUUUGGGUUUGUUUGUUUGUUUUCUUUUGUUUUUGUUUUUUUUUACUUCCAAAUAAUUUCUAUUGUCAGAUUUGUUUAUCUCUGUGUGUAUGUACAUUCUUACCAUAAUUUGGAGCAGUCCUGAUUUUGUUAGUGUAUUUCUCCUCCACUAUCAGUAUAUUAGAAUAAAAGCUGAAGAGAGAAUGGGAGGAGUAGGUGGUAUCAAAACCUCACAGUUACUUUGUGACUUGGGAGAGGUUUACAUUUUGAGUAGCUUUUCAGGGUUUUGGAAAUGUUUCUGUUUCUCAAUAAAAGGAAAGACAGGGACAGAGUAGUUAUGGGGAGAAGAAGUUCUGUGGAAGUGAAGGCAGAGGAGGCUGGAAACCAGGGCUAUCACCUGGAACCUGCUCUGCCAUUUUCCUUUGAGUGACCUUGUUCGUCAGAAGAAAGCUCUUCUGUGAGGAAACACAGAGCUGGGCUGAAAUGAGGGACAAGGAGCAGUAGAGAGCUUUUCGUUUCCAUAAACUUAGUGAGGGAUGGCACGCAACUUCACUGCACAUGUGAUUAAACUAAUCUAGUUAAAAUCAGAAAAGGAUUUCUCAUAAUUCAAUUGGAGUUGUUUUUAAUGUUUGGACUUUGGUCAAGGACAGCUUUAUUGAUUGAAUUUAAUUGCUUAUAUUUUCCUGUCCAUUUAUUGAAGCCCAUUUUUCAAGUCACUUGAGAGGCUGCUAACAUUUCAGAAAGGGGAUAUGCCAAAGCAUUGCUUUAAUUCAUUAUCUUUUUGGACAUACAGUAGUUGCUACUCGGCCCAAAUUAAAUCCGUUAGAGAAUGUGAUAGCAUAAUUACUUACAGGUAUCCAAAACUGCUUUUAACAGAAUUCUCUAGGAGGUUACGCAUAAGAUUUGUUUUGCCCUUACAUUGGAUGCAAAUGUCUGGGAUUUCAAUGAUAAAUAAAUAUUUCAUCAACUGAGGACAGAUUUUUCUCAUUUCCAUAUGUUGCUGAUGGACUAAAAUUCUUGUGAGGUCUUUAUUUUUUCCUUAAAAAUAAAAGUCUUAUGAAUUAGCUCAGUCACUUUUUCUGAAUGUGUAAACACAGUGACCCUUGAGGUAAAGAGGAAACCACCUGUAAUUCUGACUUGUUUUUUUUUUUUUCUUUUAAACUGUGCUCAACCCUGAAAGACUUGCUAGACAAAACUCCACAUUAUCUUGAUUGCUUCACGCUGUGUUCCGAUGACAUCAAGUCUGUGGUUCUCUAAAAGUUAUGUCAGCCUGAUUCCAAAUGGAGUGAAGGGCUGGAUGUUUCCAGCCUGGAAAGACAUAUGGGUUGGAAAACACCACAGGAAGGUCACCAGUGAGUUGCACUGCAACCCCCCAGUCACAGCCCUUGCUCCUGUAAGCUCUGUCCCUGCUUUCCUGACCUUCCUGCUCCUAUUUCCUCAUCUUCUGCUCCCAGCUGUGGCUUCCUGCCUUGGAGAAGUUCUCAGUCUAACACAGAAAUGGGACAUGAGCAGCUCUGUAAGGACAGAGGAGCAUCUGCUGGCACUUGUGGACCCACUUGGUGUUGGGCUCAGCUCUCUGGCUCUGCACUGAAAGUACCGUGCAUUAUCUUGUGUUUUGUAAAAACUAAAGUUGCAGUGGUUGCAGUUUUCAAGAUUGUAUUUAUUGAUACAAGGUCUAGGCAGAAAAUGUGAAUCUACCUACAAAAACUCACAUUCGGUGCUUUUCAGGUAUCUGUUUUGUUAGGAAGAUGCAUAAGACAAAACUUGGUUUAGCUACAAAAACUUCAAAUCAAACACAAUCCAGACUUACAUAUUAACUUUUCUUAUUUAAGAGAGCAUAAUGCUUCCUUGGAGUGAGACAAGGUUCUCACAAAGACCCCAGGAUUUAUCCUCUUCUUGCAAUAGUUCUGUGGUUAACAGAUGCAAGCUGAAAUACCUGAUGUAUGUAAUACCUCUCCUCCCCCCAGAACACCCAACAUUUAAAUGUUGCCUAAUUCACAAAAGUUUUGCUUCGGAAUCCAGCGAUCAUAUCUGAUAAAAGGCACAAGGAAUUCCUUUCACAAGGAACUGAACCACAGAUGGUUAUGUGAUUUGAGGGCCACUGAACAUCAACAGUUUUACCAAGUGAAUCAGAAUUACAGAAACACCUGCAUGACUGCAUCUGCCGACUCAGCUAAAUUACGCUUCCAUCCAGCCACAUGAUAUUUAAUGUGUAAUUCUUCUGCAUUUUAAUCAAAUGCAUUGUAAUGACAGUACAAAAUUUCAAUAUGAAUGCACCUUAAUGUAGGAGUAACUAAUAGCUACCAUCCAUUAGUACCAGCUAAGAGACAUACUUCCUCCUAAGCAACAGGGGCAUGGUUAUUUUAACUCAUUACCUGCUUUGUAAAUGACAUUUAAUUACAUAUGAAGUGGGGAUGUUCACAGGACACUCCUGGAAAUGCAAGAUUGAGCACCCAGAAGUUAGCAAAUAUUUGAAAGAAUAUUGUAGAAAGGUGUUCCAUGAACCCCUGCGUGGCAAGACAGGCUCUGUGCACUCUUCCCAAAUGGUGCCUCUUCCCUGUAAAACCUGCUCCGACUUUAGCAGUUUAGAGCUGUAAAAUUUUUGCUAAGCACAAGCAAAUGUGAAGUUUCUACAGGUUUUUGAGAGUCAAUGGAUUUUUGAGACUUCCAUAAAACAUUCCUUGAGAAACAGAUGAUGUGGGACACUCUCUUAGUUGUUGUUUUUAAACCAGGUUUACAGGUCAAACUAUGAGAACAGUAACACUGCAAAAUAUUUCCUAGAACCUUUCUUAAGGAUAGAUGAAUUAGUUUGGGUAAAAUUUUUCUAGAAAAAAAUCAGUCUGAUCAAAAAAAUGAAUUUUGGACAAUAUCUCCUAGUGGUUAAUACUAAUUAAAAUUUUGAGCAUCAAAAAUCAGCCUUUAAAACAGAAAAGACUGGCCAACCUUGACUGACCAACCUUAGGAGAUGGAUAACUGUGAGUUACUGUGUGCUGAAAUUGCUCUCAUUUGGCUUUAUCCUGAGAUGUGCCCCUCAGUUCUGAUGCCCACAGGGACUAAAUUCAAGAUUUUGGCCCUGGUACAAGGUCCUGCCCACAGUGGAACUGGGGAGAUCAGGGCCAGAUCUCUGGGAAACAGACACUGCUGUAUCCUGGUGCUCUGUUCAAUGCUUGUUCAUGCUUCUAGUGCCAGUAGGGAAAAUGUGAAAGCAUGGAGUGAGGUAGAAAGUGAAGAUUUAAACGAAGCAAAUUAAUUCCUGAAGGGCUGGCUAUUGAAACACUGUGCUUCCUGCCCAUGUUUGUCUUUACUUCAAUUCAUUGGUCCCUAGUGCACCCAGAAUUAUAGCUCAGUAAACUUCUUCAAGGAUCAUACAUUUAAAAAAAACAACCAUCCAAAAUCUCAAAGUAUGGCUUAAAAGCAGGAAACCUCCUAGCAGAAAAGAGUGAGAGAACACGUCUUGACUUGGUCAUUUCCUCUUUCAGAUGUGGACACAUUUUCAUUACAAAUUACUCUGAAAUCAGUAAUUAUUUUCAUAUGGUUAACAAAAGAUACUGAUUCAACAUUUGCAUCUCCCUGAAUUGCAGUAGAGUGGGAUUACAAAUGGCAGAGAUACAUCAGUUUUAAAAAACAUAUUGAAGACUUCAACUUAAUGAUGGAAAGAGUUCUGUCAUUACUUGAAUGGCAUGUGAAUAUCCACAGAGUGGGGAGCCCACAGUUACCACAAAAGAUGCUAAAAACAGGUACAUGGAAAUAAAAUGUAAAUGCUCAAAGUUAGCUCAGCUUUCCAUUUGUUUUCCUAAGGAGUGAGUGUUAAAGCUCCAACCAUCCUGCCUAGGUGGAACCACAGACAGAGCUCAAACAUCCAAGUCCCACUUAAUUCCUUAAAAGACCUGCCCUUUCUUUAAUGGAGUGACUUAACUGUUUCAUGGCAAACAGAAGAGAACACACAGAAUAAAGCUACUUUAUGCAAUAGCCUUGGAUUCCAGUUUGUGUCUAAGAAAUAUUUACCAUAAGCCUGCAAACUUCUCCAGGCAGCUCCCGUGUGGAAGAAGGAAAGGGAGGUUGCACUCGGUGGUCCUGUUAAGUGCAGUGAUUUCUAAUAACAGCCACAUUUGCUGUGAGUGAUCUGGAUCAACAUCAAAAAAAAAUCCCCAUCUAGUCAAGUGCCCAGCAAGGGGUCUAUUCUCAUGUCCAUGCUCAUAUGUUAAGUCCCAUUGACAAGCAUUAGUGGGAACGGCAUGCACAUAUGGAUAUGUGAAUAGCCCCAAUGGGAUCUGCAUAAAGCAGUGUUUGACUAUACAGAGAUCGCUUCAACUGCCACAAUAAAAUAAUAGAGGGGGGGAAGCCUUAAAGAGUGCUGUGAACAAGCCAAACAAUUAAAGAAAUUGAUAAAUAAUGGCAGUUAAAAAUGAAACAGCAAAAUUAAAACAGCAUUGGAAUCUAUUGUUUGAAAUAAAUACAGAAUGAGAACUAUCUUUAAGAAAUUAACCCUGGCAAAAAUUUAUAAAACAGCUCAUAACUCCAAGUUCUCUAAUUUUUAAAACCUCUUUGACUUCCCCUUACUCUAUAUCCUAAAUAGAAACAAUAGACACAGCAGAAAGCUCUUACUGACAAGAGGUGAGUUAAGAAAUGCACUGAUAAGCAUUGCUCUGCUGAAGAACACGGGACAUGAAAUAGUGGCAGCUCUACAAUAGGUCAAUGAUAAUGAUGCUCCUGAGGUUAUGCAACACCGACAGCCACUGUAUAAAUGUCAGAGCAUUGCAGAAACUUCCUGGAAGUGGUUUCUUGCUACCUGAGAAGGCUCCAGCAGCCAGUCUGCUGGACACCAAAAAUAUCUAAAGGAUUUGUUCUCUUUCUGCAGGAACUCUCCAGAUUUUCCCCUGAAGCUGCUACCUAAUUCAAAAUCCCAUUUUGGAGAUUUUGAGGAUUUUUGAAUGCCAUAUUGAUGAUUUGGAGAACUGUUCUUGCUUAUGCUCACAUAGCUGAAACAACAAAACCCUUCCUGACAGCCACACAUAAAUAGGUGCAAUGAACAAUGAAAUCAUCAAUUAACAAAGCAGGCAGCAAUCACUGCUGUGAUAAGUGCCCAUAUUAAGAACCUAAAUUGAUGUGAUAUGGAAUAGAUGAUAAGCAAAUAAUGGGUAUAAAUCAGGUCUAAUUGUGAUGAAGCUCACUGGUUUCUUACCCUUUUCUGAUGCCCAUAGUGGAAUUCAACUACUGAAUUGCAAGUUAUUGCAGAGUCCUGCAUGUCUAUGAAAGUCUCACUGGCUUCAGACCCAGGUCCAAACUGUUCCAGCAAUGGUGCUUUGGAACAUUCUGAGGUGAAGCAAUCCAUAUGACUGACAGUGAAAGCUCUUAUCUUACAGGAUGUCCUUUUUCAGUGGUCAUUUAGACCAACAGCCAACUUAUUAAUCACAGUAAACCAAAGCUUGUUAGAUCCCUGCUGGCCAAAGCACUUGAGAAGACAAAAGACACCAUGUUCCAGCUGACACCUGCAAGUAAUUACACAUGGUGAUAGCAGUGCCUGAAAGAACAAAUUGAGAACCAAUGCUAAGAGGAGAGGUGCAUUUCUUUUUUAUAGACUGAACUAUUUUCUGAUCUCCAAGUUCCUUAGGGUUUUAGAAAUCAAAGGCAAAUUAAGCAGGGUAAAGAAAAUCAGUUGCCAGGUGUUUAUCUGGAGAAAUUAUAGAUCUCCAGUGAUUUUAACCAGUUCUGAAAGCACACUCCCCUUCUAAGAUGACACUGUAUUUUAUUAUAAGAUUGUUUAAUCAGCGUAACGGCAGAGGGGAACUGCUCCAUGGAGAACAGAAUCUGGAGGCCCACUCUCCCAGAGUGUUUUCUCUACCUACCAACAGAUUUUUCAGUCUGUCUCCAAUAUCUUUGGAUAUCAGAACACAUAUGAGGCAUGACAAAGACAGGCAUGCAUUUUUAGAAGGCAAAAUAUGAUGGCUGAUCCUUUCCUAAAAACCUCCUGGAGAGGAGAGAAGAUGAGAAGAUGAGAAGAUGGCUCCUCCUCUGAAGAGCACAAACAACCACAGCCAGAUAUCCACUUCUGGAAAAUAAUCUACCCCCAGGUUCAACUUUGAAGACUUCUUCAUAUUGAAAGAAAAGAGGAAGAUGAAUUUACAUUCAGAGACUGAGAAAUAAGUCACCAUCAUGUCAUACCGCCACAUCCUGGAUCUAUCAGAUGUUUUAGAGCAAAGCAAGUUUCUCAGAUAACAUCCACCCCAGCAACUAAUUUCAGCUUGUGUUUCAUUUUAAGCUGCUGAGUUGAUUGGUGGGACAAUUUUCUGCACUGAGUCAAUCAGCAGCAUCACUGCAAGGCACAGGCAGGUCCUCAGCCACUGCAUUGAUCUCUGCUUAAGUCCCCGAGACUGUUGAGCUGUCCAGGCUUUGCUUCACUGACAAUUCCAAUGUCCCUCAAACCUCUGGCAUUUGAGUUAUCAAUUAAUAAUUCUGCUCUGUG